rnacentral:rRNA from 1 species
GACUACUGGGGUAUCUAAUCCUGUUUGCUCCCCACGCUUUCGUGCCUCAGCGUCAGUUACAGUCCAGAAAGCCGCCUUCGCCACUGGUGUUCCUCCUAAUAUCUACGCAUUUCACCGCUACACUAGGAAUUCCGCUUCCCUCUCCUGCACUCUAGCCCUCCAGUAUUAGAUGCACCCCCCAAGUUAAGCCCGGGUAUUUCACAUCCAACUUAAAAGGCCGCCUACGCACCCUUUACGCCCAGUAAUUCCGGACAACGCUCGCCCCCUACGUAUUACCGCGGCUGCUGGCACGUAGUUAGCCGGGGCUUCCUCCUUGGCUACCGUCAUUUGUUUCGUCACCAAGGACAGAGGUUUACAACCCGAAAGCCUUCUUCCCUCACGCGGCGUUGCUGGGUCAGGCUUGCGCCCAUUGCCCAAUAUUCCCCACUGCAGCCACCCGUAGG